UACGGGGGGUGCAAACGUUGUUCGGAAUUAUUGGGCGUAAAGCGCGCGCAGGCGGUCCUUUAAGUCUGAUGUGAAAGCCCACGGCUCAACCGUGGAGGGUCAUUGGAAACUGGGGGACUUGAGUACAGAAGAGAAGAGUGGAAUUCCACGUGUAGCGGUGAAAUGCGUAGAGAUGUGGAGGAACACCAGUGGCGAAGGCGACUCUUUGGUCUGUAACUGACGCUGAGGCGCGAAAGCGUGGGGAGCAAACAGG
rnacentral:rRNA from 1 species